GCUGAAAAAAAAUCUUGGAGACUCCACAGAACCUUAAAUUGUUGAGGUAUAUACACAGGAGCAACUCACGUGCAUGUGUGACUUUUUGAGAAGAAACCACGCAAGACUGUUGGUUAGCAAUCACCAUGUAAAAGGGUUUGCAGAAACCAGACAGAGAGCCUGGGUGGAGAUGCUAUUGGCUGCCUAGGUCGGACUGCCUCCAAUCUGAGGUGAUCUUGGAGUGAUCUAACAUUAGAAUGAAUGGUUACGCUAGGAAUCAGACAAAGACUGGAGGUGAACAGUUUGGUAAAGUGAAGUCAAAAUGGAAAUCGUGCUGGCAGUCAUGAGGAACUAGGCCAAGCAUUGGGUCCAUCCAUGGCCAGGAGACAGAGACUGAGACAUCUGAGUAACUGCUUUCACAUAAGGCAGCCUGCUUCUGGACAUGGGGAAGCCAGAGAAAGAGAAGGAGGUUGAGGGGGAACCUCAAGCUGUUCCCGAGGCACCAUUGACAUCCAGGGUAGAUGGGAUCUACCGGUAGUUGAUUGUGUAGGACACCAAGAUGAAACCCAGCAUAAGAGAAGAAAGAGAAGGUGCCCUUCCUGUUUUGACCAGCACACCGAGUACCAGGAGCAUGGAUCUGCUGCAAGUUCAACAGGAGACACUCAGAAUGCAGCAAGCUUUGCUGCAAAUAUUUUAAAUAAAAAAUUAUCCACAAUUGUUUGCAGCAGUUUGUUAAUGGA